rnacentral:lncRNA from 1 species
AGACACUAAGGAAGGCAGAACAAAAGACAGCAUAUACUGUAUAAAUACAUGUGUGGCAUAAAAUAUACCAUCUAUAUUCAGCCUAGAACAGUGUUACGCCCUCAAUAAAUUUUUUGUUGAGUGGAUAUAUGAAUAAUUAAUGAAAAGUCUCCAAAUGAUUUGACCAAAGGUGAUAGGGAAAUGAUUUAACCUUGACUAACUGGGAUGUUUGUAUUCUGAAACAGAAAUUCUGCUGAGAUGGGAAAAAGCAAAGUUGAAUCGGAGCAGACCCAUGUUAAACAGAACUACCUUUGGCACCAUAACUAUGAAAGCAGAGAGUGAC